UGGGGAAUAUUGGACAAUGGGGGCAACCCUGAUCCAGCAAUGCCGCAUGUGUGAAGAAGGCCUGCGGGUUGUAAAGCACUUUCAGUAGGGAAGAAAAGCUCGGGGUGAAUAUCCCCGGGUCUUGACGUUACCUAAAGAAGAAGCACCGGCUAACUCCGUGCCAGCAGCCGCGGUAAUACGGAGGGUGCGAGCGUUAAUCGGAAUUACUGGGCGUAAAGCGCACGCAGGCGGUUAGGUAAGUCGGAUGUGAAAGCCCUGGGCUUAACCUGGGAACUGCAUUCGAUACUGUCUGGCUAGAGUAUGGGAGAGGGAAGCGGAAUUUCCGGUGUAGCGGUGAAAUGCGUAGAUAUCGGAAGGAACACCAAUGGCGAAGGCAGCUUCCUGGCCCAAUACUGACGCUCAGGUGCGAAAGCGUGGGGAUCAAACAG
rnacentral:rRNA from 1 species